CUACGGGGUGCAGCAGGCGAGAAAACUUUGCAAUGUGCGAAAGCACGACAAGGUUAAUCCGAGUGGUUUCUGCUAAAGGAACCUUUUGACAGUCCUAGAAACACUGUUGAAUAAGGGGUGGGCAAGUUCUGGUGUCAGCCGCCGCGGUAAACCAGCACCUCAAGUGGUCAGGAUGAUUAUUGGGCCUAAAGCAUCCGUAGCCGGCUCUGUAAGUUUUCGGUUAAAUCUGUACGCUCAACGUACAGGCUGCCGGGAAUACUGCAGAGCUAGGGAGUGGGAGAGGUAGACGGUACUCGGUAGGAAGGGGUAAAAUCCUUUGAUCUAUUGAUGACCACCUGUGGCGAAGGCGGUCUACCAGAACACGUCCGACGGUGAGGGAUGAAAGCUGGGGGAGCAAACCGGAUUAGAUACCCGCGUAGUC
rnacentral:rRNA from 1 species